AUUAUUUGAGGAUUUUUGGAAUUGUUUUGAUAUGAUUUUGAUUGAAUUCAUUCUGUUUGGACAUUGGAUGUUGUAUUUGACCUAGUUUGACUUGUUUUGGUCAUGAAAUGAAUAUGGAGAAUGAUAUGAGUAUGGGAUCAAUUGCAUUUGCUUUCUAUUUGCAUUAAUUUGAUUUUGGUUGAGAAUUGUUUGCUGUUUAGAAUUUUUUCUCCCUUUUGGACCCUAGGCUUGGCCUAGUGGUCCAGUUUCUCACAUUUGGUUUGACUUUUCAGGAUGAAAUGCACAAAGCUUAAGGAGAAUGAUUCAAGUCAAUAAAAUUGAAUUUGUUUGAUGUGGAGAACUAACAUAACUUUGUUUUGUAGGUUGUGAAGCUUGAGCUUGAGCUUAUAGCUUGCACUUGUGUGCAUUAAUCUGUGUUGCUUAAUCUGUAUAGUCUGACUGAUUAACAUUUGCUGUUUACUGUUGGUUUGUCUGAGUACUGAUGAUACUUGAUUGAUUUCAGGUACAUUUAGUUGCUUACAGUUCUUUAAGAACUUGCUUGCUGCUGCUUGGUUUUUAAACCACUUGAGGUAGGACUUCUAUUCUUCAUGUAGUCUG
rnacentral:lncRNA from 1 species